AAAGAAAGGAACCCAAACAUAACACUAAAGAAAGCCAUAAAAUCACAAGGGAAGAGAGCAAGAGGAGAAGAAAGGAACAGAGAAGAACUACUAAAACACCCAGAAAAAAACACAUUUCAUUGCCAUUGAUUAGAGGACAAGAGGAAGGAGAAUGGCCCAUUCGCCUAAUCAUGACAAAUAGCUGCUUUGGUCCUUACCUGGAGGCUGUGGUCACCUGGGCCUGCCUUUUGUGCAUGCCCAUGGGCAGCAAGCAGGAAUUCAGUGUGGUAGCUGGAACCUGGCUCGACUCCAAUUUGGCGUGUGUCUAACAUUGUUUGAAGAACACUUUGUGCCCGCUGAGGCACACUCCUCUCCCAGGGACCAGAGCUAAGACAACAAAAGCUCCUGGUGCCAAGGCUACUGGUCUUAUCUGUAAAUCACUUUUCUUUUUUCUUGUCUCCUCAAGGGUGAUUUGACCUUAGCUCAGAGCUUGAGCAGGCCCGGCUCAUCAAUUUUACACUGACAAGUGAAAAGACCAAGUGGAUUUAGCUUCCCUGAUUCCUGAAACCGUGUCAGGUCUUAUAUUUGAGUAUCUUAUUGACCUAUUGGUGAUCAGUACUGCCAAGAAUAUGUGUGUGUACACUUGCGCACUUGUUGUGCAUGAACAUGUAACUAUAUAUAAAUGAUCAUUAAUCAAAAUUCUAAAUGUAUAUGAAAGUUAAUUUUACUUGUUCUUUUUUAGAAAUCAUAAAAUCCAAAAGUGACAGCGUUCAGAGGUCACUCUAAAAAGGCAGGCUUUUUCCUCCUAGAAUUCUUCUUUGGAUGCCUACCUGACCUCAAGCUCAGUGUUAUUCUAGUACCAGUGAGUGAUUCCAGAUAGGCCUAAAACUUUGAUGUUUUCCUCUGAAGCUAUUUAACAACCUGAAGAGGAAGGUUUCUAUUGUGAAUGAGUCUAGACUGCUCCCAGGUCACUGACCAGGAAUACUCACCCCACAGGGUGGACACACAGGCAGCUGAGUUGGUUGCUUUUA
rnacentral:lncRNA from 1 species